AAAAAGCCACCGAGAGCCCCGGAGCUGCAGAGGACACAGGAGUCACCCGGGAGGGUGGCACAGCUGCAGCCCCCAGCCCCGAGCAGGGCAGGGCCGGGCUGUGACAGCCCCGCACCGCCCCAAAAUCCCGGGAAGGGCGGGUUCAGAGCCCGCGGUGCCGCCCGGAGCCCUGGGGACCAAAGGGCGGCGUUGGUGCUGCUGAGAUGAGCGCAGGGCUGGGGCGGGCACGGACCCUCCGCUCCCUGGAACCGGCGGGGACAGGACGUGACACUGCCGGGAUUUUCCAUGGGAAAUGUCACACCAGCACCAAGAGCUGGGCAGGCCCACGCUGCUGGAGCAGCCCACGCUGAGCUGAACCAGACCAGGGAUGCUCAUCUGGCACAGCCUCUCCCCUCAGCAGGAUUUAACCAUGCAGAGAGCAAAACUCAUCAAUCCUCCAGGUUUAACCUUGUCUCUGUUUCAAUUCACCAGGGAUUUCCUGCUACGUACCCCCCUCUGCUUGCAGCAAGACACACUUUCACAAAGCAACUGCACUGAAGGGAGAAUGCUGAUGGGGAAAGUGCACCAGGCCUGCCUGGAUCCAAGGGAAAGGCUCUAAUCCAAACCUCACUGGCAGCUGGAU